rnacentral:rRNA from 1 species
AUUGAACGCUGGCGGCAGGCCUAACACAUGCAAGUCGAACGGUAACAGGAAGCAGCUUGCUGCUUCGCUGACGAGUGGCGGACGGGUGAGUAAUGUCUGGGAAACUGCCUGAUGGAGGGGGAUAACUACCGGAAACGGCAGCUAAUACCCCAUACCGUCGCAAGACCAAAGCGGGGGACCUUCGGGCCUCUUGCUAUCGGAUGUGCCCAGAUGGGAUUAGCUAGUAGGUGGGGUACCGGCUCACCUAGGCGACGAUACCUGGCGUGUCUGAGAGGAUGACCAGCCACACUGGAACUGAGACACGGUCCAGACUCCUACGGGAGGAAGCAGUGGGGAAUAUUGCACAAUGGGCGCAAGCCUGAUGCAGCCAUGCCGCGUGUAUGAAGAAGGCCUUCGGGUUGUAAAGUACUUUCAGCGGGGAGGAAGGCGAUAAGGUUAAUAACCUUGUCGAUUGACGUUACCCGCAGAAGAAGCACCGGCUAACUCCGUGCCAGCCGCCGCAGUAA